rnacentral:rRNA from 1 species
GACGAACGCUGGCGGCGUGCUUAACACAUGCAAGUCGAACGGUAAGGCCCUGUUUUUGUGGCACGCUUGAGUGGCGGACGGGUGAGUCACACGUGAGUUACCCUCCCUUGUCUUUGGGAUAUCUUAAGGUAACUGGGGUUCAUACUGGAUCGGCGCUCCUGCUGCCUGGUGGUGGUUGGCAAUUUUCGGCGGUUGGGGAUGGACUCGCGGCUUAUCAGCUUGUUGGUGGGGUGGUGGCUUACCAAGGCUUUGACGGGUAGCCGGCCUGAGAGGGUGACCGGCCACAUUGGGACUGAGAUACGGCCCAGACUCCUACGGGAGGCAGCAGUGGGGAAUAUUGCACAAUGGGCGGAAGCCUGAUGCAGCAACGCCGCGUGCGGGAUGACGGCCUUCGGGUUGUAAACCGCUUUCGCCUGUGACGAAGCGUGAGUGACGGUAAUGGGUAAAGAAGCACCGGCUAACUACGUG